AUUGAACGCUGGCGGCAGGCUUAACACAUGCAAGUCGAGCGGGGUGAUGGUGCUUGCACUAUCACUUAGCGGCGGACGGGUGAGUAAUGCUUAGGAAUCUGCCUAUUAGUGGGGGACAACAUCUCGAAAGGGAUGCUAAUACCGCAUACGUCCUACGGGAGAAAGCAGGGGAUCACUUGUGACCUUGCGCUAAUAGAUGAGCCUAAGUCGGAUUAGCUAGUUGGUGGGGUAAAGGCCUACCAAGGCGACGAUCUGUAGCGGGUCUGAGAGGAUGAUCCGCCCCACCGGAAAUGAGACACGUCCCAGACUCCUACGGGAGGCAGCAGUGGGUAAUAUUGGACAAUGGGGGGAACCCUGAUCCAGCCAUGCCGCGUGUGUGAAGAAGGCCUUAUGGUUGUAAAGCACUUUAAGCGAGGAGGAGGCUCUUUUGGUUAAUACCCAAGAUGAGUGGACGUUACUCGCAGAAUAAGCACCGGCUAACUCUGUGCCAGCCGCCGCAGUAA
rnacentral:rRNA from 1 species